rnacentral:rRNA from 1 species
UACGUAGGGUGCAAGCGUUGUCCGGAGUUACUGGGCGUAAAGGGUGCGCAGGCGGCGUUCCGCGUGGCGAGAUGAAAUCUCCUGGCUUACCUGGGAGGGUGGUCGCCAGACGGGAGCGCUUGAGGGUCGGAGAGGGGCGUGGAAUUCCGGUGGAGCGGUGAAAUGCGUAGAGAUCGGAAAGAACACCAACGGCGAAAGCACUCUGCUGGGCCGACACUGACACUGAGAGACGAAAGCUAGGGGGAGCGAAUGGG